UAUUAAUAUAAUUUAAACAUAUAAAAUAUUGAUUUUGUAAAUCAAAUUUGGUUACCCUGUUAAUAA
rnacentral:tRNA from 1 species